UACAGGGGGUGCAAACGUUGCUCGGAAUUAUUGGGCGUAAAGCGCGCGUAGGCGGCCGCUUAAGUCGGAUGUGAAAGCCCCUGGCUCAACUGGGGAAGUGCACCCGAAACUGAGUGGCUUGAGUACUAAAGAGGGUCGCGGAAUUCCCGGUGUAGAGGUGAAAUUCGUAGAUAUCGGGAGGAACACCGGUGGCGAAGGCGGCGACCUGGGUAGAUACUGACGCUGAGGCG
rnacentral:rRNA from 1 species